CAAAAAAAAAGAUAUCAGCCCCAGUUCCCCUUUCGCCUUGCUCUCCUGUGAGGUGCCGCCGAGCUUGCUCCACGAUUCCGGUCGCCGGAGCUACCAAUCGACGCAGAUUUGUUGCCACCACCAUGCCCUUCUGCCUUACUCGUAUCGUGCGGUCAAACCUUAUCCUGUGUGCCCCUGCAUGCCCUGCAGCCGUUGCUCAGAGGAAAGCAGCCGCACAUCAGCAGCGUCGUGAAGCGCCGGAAGCUGAGGGCCUGUCCCGUGACCGCCUUGGAGGAAAGCGGGCCCACAACCUUCGGGGCAGCAGAGCAUGAACCGGAGCUCGAUCCGUCACCGCGGCAUCCUUGGCGACGGCUCGCAUUUCAGAAGAAGACCGUCACGGAGAAGGGAGGAGCUGAUGCAGACUGUGUGGGCGCCGUGGCCGCACAGAAGGAGGAGCUGAUGUACUCAAAUAGCCGCAGAGAAGGCUUGGACUUGCAGCUGUAGGAGCACCACCACUGGCAGGAGCAGCAGCUGAAACUGUAACACCACCACCACUUGGAGCUGAAGCACUUCUCCCUACCAUCAGGUAAGAGAUCAUAAACGCGUACAUACAUUGCAUAAGUGGAACAGAGCAUCUACAGGUAAGGUCAGGUGGAAGUGUGUUCUUAGAGAAUGCAUGCAUCUCUAAGUUGAUAAAGACUGGUAGCUGUCUAGGGGAUGACCCACCACCAUGGGUAUUAAAAAGAGUCAAAACUUAUUUGAAGCAUGAUAUGAUAUUCAUUCCAAUAAACAUUGAUGACAUUCAUUGGUACGUAGCAGUUGUAAAUGCCAGAUUAAGAUGUAUCCAGGUGCUCGACUCGCUAGGCAGUGGAAUGCACCGCAAAGAUCUCACUGCUAUGCUACAAGGACUGGAAAAUGUUUUCACAUAUGCAUCGACGUGCAUGGAACUAAGAUCUGAUAAAUGGAAGGACCUAAACAUCAAAAAAUGGAAAAUAGAAGAGUGUAUUAAGAG